rnacentral:rRNA from 1 species
AUGUUCGUAAUUCCCUUCAUGACUCGUUUAGGAAUAACGGAUUCGUGGGGUGGUUGGAGUAUUUCAGGAGGAAUUGUAACAAAUCCGGGUAUUUGGAGUUAUGAAGGUGUGGCAGGUACGCAUAUUGUGUUUUCUGGCUUGUGUUUCUUGGCAGCGAUCUGGCAUUGGGUAUAUUGGGACCUAGAAAUAUUCUCUGAUGAGCGGAUGGGAAAACCCUCUUUGGAUUUUCCCAAGAUCUUUGGAAUUCAUUUAUUUCUUGCAGGGGUGGCUUGCUUUGGCUUUGGGGCAUUUCAUGUAACGGGUUUGUAUGGUCCUGGGAUAUGGGUAUCCGAUCCUUAUGGACUAACUGGAAAAGUACAAGCUGUAAAUCCAGUGUGGGGUGCAGAAGGUUUUGAUCCUUUUGUUCCGGGGGAAAUAGCUUCUCAUCAUAUUUCUGCGGGUACAUUGGGUAUAUUAGCGGGCUUAUUCCAUCUUAGUGUCCGUCCGCCUCAACGUCUAUAUAAAGGAUUACGUAUGGGCAAUAUUGAAACUAUACUUUCCAGUAGUAUCGCUGCUUUUUUUGCAGCUUUCGUAGUUGCUGGAACUAUGUGGUAUGGGUCAGCAACGACCCCAAUCGAAUUAUUUGGGCCUACUCGUUAUCACUGGGAUCAGGGAUACUUUCAGCAAGAAAUAUAUCGAAGAGUUAGCAAUGGUUUAGCCGAAAAUCUUAGUUUAUCAGAAACUUGGUCUAAAAUUCCCAAAUUAGCCUUUUAUGAUUAUAUUGGUAAUAAUCCGGCAAAAGGGGGAUUAUUCAGAGCAGGCUCAAUGGACAAUGGGGAUGGAAUAGCUGUUGGAUGGUUAGGACAUCCCGUCUUUUGA